rnacentral:rRNA from 1 species
GACGAACGCUGGCGGCGUGCCUAAUACAUGCAAGUCGAACGCAGUGGGGACGGGUGAGUAACACGUGGGUAACCUCCCAUCAGAGGGGAUAACACUUGGAAACAGGUGCUAAACCGAUACUGAUGGAUGGACCCGCGGUGCAGUAGCUAGUUGGUGUGGGAACGGCUCACAAAGGCCCCGAUGCAUAGCGGACCUGAUCGGGUGAUCGGCAAAACUGGGACGGAGACACGGCCCAGCCUCCUCCGGGAGGCAGCGGGAGGGAGUCUUCGGCAAUGGACGAAAGUCUGACCGAGCAACGCCGCGUGAGUGAAGAGGGUUUUCGGAUCGUAAAACUCUGUUGUUAGAGAAGCGGUAUCUAACCAGAAAGCCACGGCUAACUCCGUGCCAGCAGCCGCGGUAAUAC